GACAGAGGCCCCGAGCGUUAGGCGGAAUCACUGGGCUUAAAGCGUGUGUAGGCGGACGCCUAAGUACCUCGGUGAAAUCCCACGGCUCACCCGUGGAACGGCUGGGUAUACUGGGCGUCUUGGGCCAACUAGGGGCGACCGGAACAAGCGGUGGAGCGGUGAAAUGCGUAGAUAUCGCUUGGAACGCCGACGGUGAAAACAGGUCGCUGGGGUUGUGCCGACGCUGAGACACGAAAGCCAGGGGAGCGAACGGG
rnacentral:rRNA from 1 species